UUAUAUGGCCAAGUGACUAAGCGUGCACGGUGGAUGCCUUGGCAGUCAGAGGCGAUGAAGGACGUGGUAGCCUGCGAAAAGCUCCGGGGAGUCGGCAAACAGACUUUGAUCCGGAGGUGUCCGAAUGGGGAAACCCACCCCUUAGGGGGUAUCUUAUCCUGAAUACAUAGGGGUAAGAGGCGAACCGGGAGAACUGAAACAUCUAAGUACCCCGAGGAAAAGAAAUCAACCGAGAUUCCCUAAGUAGUGGCGAGCGAACGGGGACCAGCCCUUAAGUCUAUAAUGUGUUAGUGGAAGGCUCUGGAAAGUGCCGCCAUAGUGGGUGAUAGCCCCGUACACGAAAGUGCAUUUUAGAUGAAAUCGAGUAAGGCGGGACACGUGGUAUCCUGUCUGAACAUGGGGGGACCAUCCUCCAAGGCUAAAUACUCCUGACUGACCGAUAGCGAACUAGUACCGUGAGGGAAAGGCGAAAAGAACCCCGGAGAGGGGAGUGAAAUAGACCCUGAAACCGUGCACGUACAAGCAGUGGGAGCCCCUUCGUGGGGUGACUGCGUACCUUUUGUAUAAUGGGUCAGCGACUUACUAUCAGUGGCAAGCUUAACCGAAUAGGGGAGGCGUAGGGAAACCGAGUCUUAAUAGGGCGUCAAGUCGCUGGUAGUAGACCCGAAACCGGGCGAUCUAUCCAUGGGCAGGUUGAAGGUUAGGUAACACUGACUGGAGGACCGAACCGACUACCGUUGAAAAGUUAGCGGAUGACCUGUGGAUCGGAGUGAAAGGCUAAUCAAGCUCGGAGAUAGCUGGUUCUCCCCGAAAGCUAUUUAGGUAGCGCCUCGGACGAAUACCACUGGGGGUAGAGCACUGUUUCGGCUAGGGGGUCAUCCCGACUUACCAACCCGAUGCAAACUCCGAAUACCAGUGAGUACUAUCCGGGAGACACACGGCGGGUGCUAACGUCCGUCGUGAAGAGGGAAACAACCCAGACCGCCAGCUAAGGUCCCCAAGUCCUGGUUAAGUGGGAAACGAUGUGGGAAGGCUCAGACAGCUAGGAGGUUGGCUUAGAAGCAGCCACCCUUUAAAGAAAGCGUAAUAGCUCACUAGUCGAGUCGGCCUGCGCGGAAGAUAUAACGGGGCUCAAACCAGGCACCGAAGCUGCGGAUUCCUCUAAGAGGAGUGGUAGGGGAGCGUUCUGUAAGUCUGCGAAGGUGUGUUGUAAGGCAUGCUGGAGAUAUCAGAAGUGCGAAUGCUGACAUAAGUAACGAUAAAGGAGGUGAAAAGCCUCCUCGCCGGAAGAUCAAGGGUUCCUGUCCAACGUUAAUCGAGGCAGGGUGAGUCGGCUCCUAAGGCGAGGCCGAAAGGCGUAGUCGAUGGGAAACAGGUUAAUAUUCCUGUACCGCUGUUUACUGCGAUGGGGGGACGGAGAAGGCUAGGCCAGCACGGUGAUGGUUAUCCGUGUUUAAGGUUGUAGGCAGGACGUGUAGGCAAAUCCGCACGGCCAAUGCUGAGGACUGAUGACGAGCUCGUAUGAGCGAAGUGGUUGAUGCCAUGCUUCCAAGAAAAGCCUCUAAGCUUCAGGUAAACAGGACCGUACCCCAAACCGACACAGGUGAUCAGGUAGAGAAUACCAAGGCGCUUGAGAGAACUCGGGUGAAGGAACUAGGCAAAAUGGCACCGUAACUUCGGGAGAAGGUGCGCUGCCGGUGGUGAAGGACUUGCUCCGUAAGCUGCUGGCAGUCGAAGAUACCAGGCCGCUGCAACUGUUUAUUAAAAACACAGCACUCUGCAAACACGAAAGUGGACGUAUAGGGUGUGACGCCUGCCCGGUGCCGGAAGGUUAAUUGAUGGGGUUAGCGCAAGCGAAGCUCUUGAUCGAAGCCCCGGUAAACGGCGGCCGUAACUAUAACGGUCCUAAGGUAGCGAAAUUCCUUGUCGGGUAAGUUCCGACCUGCACGAAUGGCGUAAUGAUGGCGGCACUGUCUCCACCCGAGACUCAGUGAAAUUGAACUCGCUGUGAAGAUGCAGCGUAUCCGCGGCUAGACGGAAAGACCCCGUGAACCUUUACUGUAGCUUCACACUGGACUUUGAUGUUGUUUGUGUAGGAUAGGUGGGAGGCUUAGAAGCAGAGACGCCAGUUUCUGUGGAGCCAACCUUGAAAUACCACCCUGACACCAUUGAGGUUCUAACUCAGGCCCGUGAUCCGGGUCGAGGACAGUGUGUGGUGGGCAGUUUGACUGGGGCGGUCUCCUCCCAAAGAGUAACGGAGGAGCGCGAAGGUACCCUCAGGCUGGUCGGAAAUCAGCCAAUGAGUGCAAGCGUAGAAGGGUGCUUAACUGCGAGACGGACAGGUCGAGCAGGUACGAAAGUAGGUGCUAGUGAUCCGGUGGUUCUGAAUGGAAGGGCCAUCGCUCAACGGAUAAAAGGUACUCCGGGGAUAACAGGCUGAUACCGCCCAAGAGUUCACAUCGACGGCGGUGUUUGGCACCUCGAUGUCGGCUCAUCACAUCCUGGGGCUGAAGCCGGUCCCAAGGGUAUGGCUGUUCGCCAUUUAAAGUGGUACGCGAGCUGGGUUUAGAACGUCGUGAGACAGUUCGGUCCCUAUCUGCCGUGGACGUUGGAGAUUUGAGAGGAGCUGUUCCUAGUACGAGAGGACCGGAAUGGACGAACCGCUGGUGUUCGGGUUGUGAUGCCAAUCGCAUUGCCCGGUAGCUAUGUUCGGACGGGAUAACCGCUGAAAGCAUCUAAGCGGGAAGCCCCCCUCAAGAUGAGAUCUCCCUGGAUCUUGAAUCCUCUAAAGGGCCCUUGAAGACCACAAGGUUGAUAGGUGGGGUGUGUAAGUGCUGUGAGGCAUUGAGCUAACCCAUACUAAUUGCCCGUGCGGCUUGGCCAUAUAAGCUAAG
rnacentral:rRNA from 1 species